CCUACGGGGGGCAGCAGUGGGGAAUAUUGGGCAAUGGAGGAAACUCUGACCCAGCAACGCCGCGUGAAUGAUGAAGGUCUUCGGAUUGUAAAGUUCUUUUCUAGGGAAGAAGAAAGUUACGGUUCCUUAGGAAUAAGCCUCGGCUAACUAUGUGCCAGCAGCCGAGGUAACACGUAGGAGGCGAGCGCUAUCCGGAAUGACUGGGGGUAAAGGGUGCGUAGGUGGUUUUGCAAGUUAGUAGCGUAACUCCUAGGCUCAACCUUGGAACUACUACUAAAACUGUUGGACUAGAGUGCAGGAGAGGCAACCGGAAUUCCAAGUGUAGCGGUGGAAUGCGUAGAUAUUAGGAGGAACACCAGUGGCGAAGGCGGGUUGCUGGACUGUAACUGACACUGAGGCACGAAAGCGUGGGGAGCAAACAGGAUUAGAUACCCGUGUAGUC
rnacentral:rRNA from 1 species